UGGCUCAGGACGAACGCUGGCGGCGUGCCUAACACAUGCAAGUCGAACGAAGUAUAUUUUCGGAAUGUACUUAGUGGCGGACGGGUGAGUAACGCGUGAACAAUCUGCCCUAUACAAAGGAAUAGCCUCGGGAAACUGGGAUUAAAACCGUAUGACGCUUUUAAGUCGCAUGACAUAGAAGCCAAAUUGAAUAAGAGGUAUAGGAUGAGUUCGCGUCUGAUUAGCUAGUUGGUGGGGUAAAGGCCUACCAAGGCGACGAUCAGUAGCCGGCCUGAGAGGGUGAACGGCCACACUGGAACUGAGACACGGUCCAGACUCCUACGGGAGGCAGCAGUGGGGAAUAUUGCACAAUGGAGGAAACUCUGAUGCAAGCGACGCCGCGUGAGUGAAGAAGGUCUUCGGAUCGUAAAACUCUGUCCUUGGUGAAGAAGAAAAUGACGGUAGCCAAGGAGGAAGCCCCGGCUAACUACGUGCCAGCAGCUGC
rnacentral:rRNA from 1 species